GAUGAACGCUGGCGGCGUGCCUAAUACAUGCAAGUCGAGCGAACGGACGCGAAGCUUGCUUCUCUGAUGUUAGCGGCGGACGGGUGAGUAACACGUGGAUAACCUCCCUAUAUGACUGGGAUAACUUCGGGAAACCGUAGCUUAUACCGGAUAAUAUUUUGAACCGCAUGGUUCAAAAGUGAAAGACGGCCUUGCUGUCACUUAUAGAUGGAUCCGCGCUGCAUUAGCUAGUUGGUAAGGUAACGGCUUUCCAAGGCAACGAUGCAUAGCCGACCUGAGAGAGUGAUCGGCCACACUGGAGCUUGGACACGGUCCAGACUCCUACGGGAGGCAGCAGUCGGCAAUCUUCCGCAAAGGGCGAAAGCCUGACGAAGCAACGCCGCGUGAGUGAUAAAGGUCUUCGGAUCGUAAAACUCUGUUAUUAGGGAAGAACAUAUGUGUAAGUAACUGUGCACAUCUUGACGGUACCUAAUCAGAAAGCCACGGCUAACUACGUG
rnacentral:rRNA from 1 species